AACCUGCCCAAGAGACUGGGAUAACACCUGGAAACAGAUGCUAAUACCGGAUAACAACACUAGACGCAUGUCUAGAGUUUGAAAGAUGGUUCUGCUAUCACUCUUGGAUGGACCUGCGGUGCAUUAGCUAGUUGGUAAGGUAACGGCUUACCAAGGCAAUGAUGCAUAGCCGAGUUGAGAGACUGAUCGGCCACAUUGGGACUGAGACACGGCCCAAACUCCUACGGGAGGCAGCAGUAGGGAAUCUUCCACAAUGGACGAAAGUCUGAUGGAGCAACGCCGCGUGAGUGAAGAAGGGUUUCGGCUCGUAAAGCUCUGUUGGUAGUGAAGAAAGAUAGAGGUAGUAACUGGCCUUUAUUUGACGGUAAUUACUUAGAAAGUCACGGCUAACUACGUGCCAGCAGCCGCGGUAAUACGUAGGUGGCAAGCGUUGUCCGGAUUUAUUGGGCGUAAAGCGAGUGCAGGCGGUUCAAUAAGUCUGAUGUGAAAGCCUUCGGCUCAACCGGAGAAUUGCAUCAGAAACUGUUGAACUUGAGUGCAGAAGAGGAGAGUGGAACUCCAUGUGUAGCGGUGGAAUGCGUAGAUAUAUGGAAGAACACCAGUGGCGAAGGCGGCUCUCUGGUCUGCAACUGACGCUGAGGCUCGAAAGCAUGGGUAGCGAACAGGAUUAGAUACCCUGGUAGUCCAUGCCGUAAA
rnacentral:rRNA from 1 species